rnacentral:lncRNA from 1 species
GGUUGAUAAGAGUAAGCGUUGGAUCUCAGCUUUUGUCCCUAGCUUCCAAGUCUGGGAAAGCAAGCAUAGUGCUCUGAGCGUGGGGAAUAAAAUUCUGCUGCUACUUACACAUUGCAAGAGGGGCUAGGAACCAGCGAGCUGUGAGAUGAUAAUAAUCCAGGGACCAACUUUACGCAAACACUUGCAUUUUAUUUAACAUUUAUUUAAAUAGUGAAACUCUUUGAUUGUUAAAUUAGCAUUAAAGUGGGCUGGAAACUGGUUUACAGUCUCUGGAAAGCAGCCACACAUCAUCAGUGUCAUAAAUUACGUCCUUUUUUACCAAGAUAUUGGCUGCCAGCUGAAAGGUUAGAAAUAACUUAUUUUCCAAUGCAAUUUGCAGUUUAUCCACGGAGAGAAAUGAGCAAAAUGGAUGCAGCUGUCUUGUAGAUUAACCCCAUAGAGUCACCAGGCUUGGAGUUCCCAGAGAAAUUUAAUGCAUUCAACAUUAUCUCUGCAGAACAGGAAAUCCCAACUCUUCUUGGCACCUGAGAGGCAGUGGUGGAGACACGUGUGCCUGUAUCAGCAGAGAGCCCAGGCUGUCAUAAUGAUAAACUGCUGAAAGAAAGCAAUGGAAUAACUCCAGGGCAUCAGUUCAGCAGUGAAGUGAUGCAAACACAGUCUGAUGAUGUAAGAGGACAACUCUGCUAGGGAGUAGGGAUGGGAUUUUUUUUUUUUUAAGCCUGUUUUAGUGCUUGUGGGAAAUACCAAAUCCUACUGCUCUGGUUAAGGUGUGCUAUCCUAUUUCAGUCUUCGUGAAAUUUCAUCUUUUAAAGAAAAAACAUGUUUUUUUUUUUUUUUUUGGAAACUGUUAUGUCUCAUGCAAGUGCCAAAGAUAAUCAUAUCUGAAGAACUCCAAAGAAUGGGAGAGGUCAUGGCAAUUUUUUCAAUUUAUUUUGUAUUUAGCUUUUUCAGUGCAGUUUGUACAUUUCUACAAGUCAGCUUUUCAGGGCAAACUGUAGCAUAGGAGAGUACAUCUUGAAUUAAUAGAUCAGUGGCUUAGCAUUCGUGUCAGGUUACCUAAAGUUAUUUUAAAAUGAUAUAUAAAAUGAUUUUUAAAAACAGUGAGCCCCCUAGGUUGUUUAAUUUUCAAAUCCAUCACUCAAGCCGAGACGGUUUACAGUGCAUGUGGCAUAGGAGAAGAAGGAUUACUGUACGUGUAAAGCAUGAGGACAAAGAUUAUUGAGGAAGUACCAGAGUCAGACGUCACUUUGUGUACAGGAGGUAAUAUUUAUUUACAACAUAAUUUGCUUCGGUAUGACAAUGAGACCGAGUCCUAUGUUAAACACACAAGUUAAGUCCGCAGUAUAAUCUAUGGUUAUAAUAGUGUUUAUUUUCUUUGUUACGCAGCUGCACCAUUAGAAGUCCUGUGACAUUUUAUGUGCAGAGCUGCAGUGGUUGCUUACGUCGUAAAAUACUUUCCUGUAGUAUGUGCCUUUUUAAUGUUCAAAGAAGAAUCAUGUUAGACAUCCUUUCUUGAUGUCUUGUGACCUGGGAACGGAACCUAUUGUGCAAAAACAACAAGGAGAAACCAAAACCUUGCAGUGAGUCCAGUUGGAUGAAUUGUUUCUUUUUUUCUGAAGGUCAUUCAUUGCUAUAGAUUCUUGAGAGAAUAUGCAGAAGUGAACAGUCAUUCCUCACAGUUUUCCCUGCAUGUUAAUGGUAUGUUCCUUGCACUCAGGAAAUCAGUGUCAGUGAUGUAAUGGGAGUUUCUACAUCAUACUGGUAUGUCAUUUGCACGAAGAGAGCGUCAUGAGAGCUGGUGAGAUUGAUGUCCUCUCUAAGAAUAGCACUGAUUAUAGAACAGAUUUUCCCAUGUACAGAGCCAUUUUUAAUUCACUGCCUACUGCAGCUGCCAGCCUGCAGAGAUAAUUCCUUCGAGCAGAAUAGCUCUAGAUUAUUAUAGGGAAAUCAAAUUUGCAUAAAAGCAUUUUAUCUCUCCCCUUUUUUUCAUGUCAAAGUUACCAAACAUUCGCUGUCAGUUACUUUUUUUUUGUGUGUGUAGGGAGAACUUUGUUAGAAUUACAUCUUAAGUAAAUUUUGUUAAGAUCUUUUCAGCUAUGUUUUAUGUAUUUUGGAGUGAAUGUUGAGCAACGACAAAUAAUUGUCAGGGAACAAGCAAGCUUUAAAAAGAAAGGAGAGGGAAAAGAAGAUGAACCGGCUCUGAAGGAACUUUCAUGCAUACCUUGAAGGACAACAUUCUUAUCUCUAUUCAUAUAUACUUGGUCCUUGUACUUGGGCGGAGCUUGCCAGGAUGGGUCCCUACAGUGUGAUGUAGCCACCCACUGGUCAAAGUGUUGUGCAGAUCUGACAUCUGAUCUGACAUCAUCCUUUACUGAUGAGGAAACUGGGGCAGUGACAGACUUGCUUUGGCUCGCAAACAGGUAGCAGAAGAAUCUAUUAGUCUCCUGAAUUGCAGGUAGUUGUCUGCAUGGUCAAACUGUACUCCAUGUCAUUGUGUCCUGUGGCACUCAUUCAAACAGAUUUUGAGGUUCAACAGUGAGGGUAAAACUGUUGGAUUUUGGGAUGAUAUUUUUAAUAUGCUUCUGUACUUAAGCACAGAAAUGCUGUUUUCAGUGUUUUAUGGCAGAGAAAGAAAUUGUCCGCCCAUUUCGAAUUCUGAGCUUGAAAGUUUUGUUUAUUUGUCUUUGCUUUAACCUUGUUCCUGGGUCUCUGGCUUUACUUGCUUGUCUAUAAGGAUGCAGGCAUCCCAUAGACAUUGUCAGUUCAAGCCUUGUGUACGUGCUUUCAGAUGCUUUUGUUUAGACAACUGAGCUGAGAUCCCAGAUUGACUGCAGAGUUGAAUAUAUAUGUGUAUGCAUAUACAUUUCUAGAAAACAAACAGCAGGAAGGUAGCCUAACAUGCUGACUGUGAAGACAAGGUGGUAGCUCAAAUCUGGGUGAAGAAGACCAUUUAGCACCUUGGGAUAGUUUCAGAUUCAGAAUUUGCUGCCUCACUUCUCUGAAUACUCUUGGAAGAGGAGCGGGAGUGGAUUUCAUAGAAUCAUAUAAUGGUUUGGGUUGGAAGGGGACCUUUUAAGGCCAUCUAGUUCCAACCUCUCAAAGCCCCACCCAGCCUGGCCUUCAACACCAUCUCCAGGGAGGGGGCAUCCACAACCUCGCUGGGCAACCUGUUCCAGUGUCUCACCACUCUCACAUUAAAGAAUUUCUUCCCAAUAUCUACUUUAAACCUACCCUUUUUCAGUUUAAAGCCAUUUACCUUCAUCCUGUUCCUACAUGCCCUUAUGAAAAGUCCCUCCCCAACUUUUCUGUUGGCCUCCUUCAGGUACUGGAAGGCUGUUCUAAGGUUCCCAUGGAGCCUUCAAUUCUCCAAGCUGAAGAGCCCCAGCUCCUCCGCCUGUCCUUGUAUGGGAACUGCUCCAGCCCUCUGAUCAUCUUCAUGGCCCUCCUCUGGACCUGCUCCAACUUGUCUGAUAUGCUUUGUCGUGAGUCCAGUCCUUAGAGUGACUGAAGGCAUCUGGAGCCUAAAUUUGCCUGGCCUGACCCAGUGGGACCUUCUGCCAGUUAAGGGUAGCAGAUGGGCCAAGGGCUGUAGGGGGGUCCUCUGUGUUCUUAUGGUGUGCGCUCUGCAGGAGGUCCAGCAGUUUGGUCUGGACUGGCCAGGGAUGAAAUGAAUAUUUAUGUUGGUAGUUAUAAGAUCGUGAACUAUUACACAGAAACAAUUAAUUAGUGACCUCCAUGCCUCUUUUGGCUUCAUUGAUUUCAGUAGAUGGGCCUUGUGGAGGUCUGUCUCGGCUACUCUCUGUGCUAUCAGUAGUAGAAAUUAUGGUUUCCCUUAACAGCAUGCAGAGUUAUAUUUUUCCCAGGAACUGUGAUAGCCUGCUUAAGUACUGUGCUCCCUCUGCUAUCAGCUGCUAACGCAGAGUUUAUGGUUGUAACAGGCAAAAUGACUUUGGAGGAUUGUGCUGUAACCUGAUAGUUUUUCCCCUACCCUCAGCGUUAUAACAUGAUUUGGUCUUGCCUGUGGACGGAAGUAAAUCAUAUUUUACCCUCACUGCUAAAUUGUAUUAUGGCCCUGACCUUUAUAGGUGAGACAAAACUGCAUUAUAAUGUGGUUAUAGGACUGCUGUGUUACACAGGGAAAACAUGGUUAUCUGAGAGUCCCACAGAAUUGUCCUAAACCAGAGGGUAAUUAGGAGUUUGAAUAAACUAGGAAUUCAGCCUUGCAGAUGUGUUGAGCUAAAUCAGAGCUUCCCUGCUGCAGCUGGGGAGCUACGUGAGUCCAGAAAACAGGCAUUCAAACAUAACCUAACAGUCACUGUGAUCUAAUGGAGUGGAGCGGGCCCUCAGCUGCUGUGAGUCGUCAUGGCACUGAAGUAAAGCUACGACAGCUAACACCAUCUGGGAUCUUCCUGUCCUCCCAGGCUGGCCAUUCAGUGUUGUUAUUUUUUUUCCAGAAAAAUUAUACAAGGCAAGGCAACAGGCAAUGUAAAGGCCCACUAGGUGGAAAACUGGAGGUAAGCACUUCCUGUGUUGUGCUGGCACGUGGUUGCAGUAUGUCAGUGGAAACCGCUGGUUUUGUGUGCUGUGGUUUCAGGCAGAAACAUACACCUUGCAAACUGGGGCUGUGGGUAAAUGUCUGCCGCUGGUUGUCCCUGAAUGUCACAGUUGAUCUUGGCACACCUCUGACUGCCCUGUGAUGUGGAUCCUACCUGAAAAGAUGGCAGCAGGUCCCUUCUAUGGGUUCCAUUAGUGACACAUCCCUCUCAGAGACCUCUGGUGGCUCUCAGUGCCACCAUGCAGGAGCUGACCUCCAUGCUUCUCUGGGCAGCCUCAGGGAGGGGCCUGGGCCUGCAGGCAGGGGCCAUGGCAGCCUUGUCCUCUGAGUUUGGGUGAAACCUUCUGACCUUGGCAUGCGGCUCCAGACCCUGGGAAUUCACAGCUAAGGACUGGUCAACUUCAGCGCUCUUUGUACCUCCCUUUGGAGGGUGAGUACUUGCGUUAUGUAGUGCCGAGCUGUGCAAAGUUCUUUGCAGGAUGUUGUGAUGAUUGCUUGCCCAAUGGUUUCAAGUUACUAAAUGGAGUCUAAAAUUAAUUGGAAUGCUCUCAGCAUCUUCUGUGAGAGUUUAACAGCGCACAGACCUUAAUUCAGAUACUAGUCUAAUAAAACACUUUAUGCCAAGUAAUGCUUUUGCUUGGCCCUCUCUGCUGUGACUGUCUCUAUUUCUGCUGUGUUGUACCUCCCCUUCAUGGGAGCUGUGUGUACGAGUGCAUGAAGAGGAGGUUCUGCAGGCCCACAAAGAAAGUGUAUUUCAUUUUUAGUGUGUGUUGAAGUUUGGGCUAUGGUAUCCUGUUCUGGCGUUUUCUUUCAUAACCAAGAUGGAUGGAAGCAUUUUGCUAAUACCAAAGUCAGUUUCUGGGGGAUCUUGGUUGUAUGUAAGAAUAUAGCGGAUUCUUGGGGCACUGUUUUUCUCUGAUGUGAGUGAGGAUACCUGGGGUUACAGAGGAUCCAGCUUUGUAGAUCCAUGCAACUUAAGAUUUGCUACAUCGAGUGAUUUCUGUUGCUUCAACACGUAAAUCAUAGGAAAUACUGGUGUGGUUUGUGUGUAUCUUUAUGUAUAUUUGUUCUAACAUCUGAAGCCCAAAAUACAAACUCAUCUAUCACUCAGAAGCCCUACCAGGCAGGCUACCAUAUGAGUGAAAUGCAAAAUACUGUUAUGUACUCAGAACAUGCUUUGUAUGGACCAGCUAGCUCCCCCUUCAUGCUAUCUCGCGUAGUAGAGCCUACAGCUGCGUGACUGCGAUUUUAAUAUGAUUUGAGCAGACAUCAAAAUUUAUUAUGUCAAAAUUGUUUAACAAAAAAAUGCUUUAAGCAAGCAUAAUUAUUUACUACUUUUCUGCAGACUAUUAGCUUGCAUAUGAUCAUUAGCUGUAAUUCAAAAUAGCUUUUGAUGAAUUUUAUUAAGAAAAGACUGAAUUUCAUUUGGGCUUUUACUGUCUUGUGUACAUGACAAUCUUGACAACUGUGUACCAAUCAUUAUGUUCUUGUAACAAUCUCAUCAGAAGAGACUGAUCAAUGGAAGACAUAAUAAAUUAAGGCUAUAAUAAUGUUGCUUGUCAAGGUUUUACUUAGCAAAUAAGACCUGGCUUGCAAUUUAUCUAGUAUAUUUCUAUUACAUUGGAAUUAUGCUUAGAGAUUUGUAUAAUUGACUUGUUUGCAGAUUUUUUUUUUUAAUAGAUUAACUUUUAAACUGUUUGUUACUUGCUGUAAAUAACAGUGAUUAGUUUGGUUCAGGCGUAAGGAUGAGAAAACCAGCAAACUGGAACAAGAACCCUGUCAGAUGAGCAGCACCACCAUCCUUUACAGUUUAUGUUGGCAGUUAAAUUAAAAGUUCUUCUGUUCCCCAUUGGGAGUUCCUCUUCUCUGGGUUUUCAGCAGAGAGUUGGUGUGUUCUUAGCAGUUCACAUUUAAGCUUGCUAUUAUCAGCAGUUUACCGAAGCAGCUGUACAACGCACAAUGUUCUGCAUAAGCAUUUUGCAGGGGAUGUUACAGAAUCAUCCAGAGCCACUCAUGAGGAAGCUCACCUAAGGCUAAAGUGAAAGAAGGACAGAAGUGUUUUUUUAUUGAUGAUCCACUAACCCAUUGGGUUUAGAGCAGUGUCUUCUGGUUGACUACUUGCUUUAUCUGAAACCCAUAUGACAAAGUUCAGUGACCAAACAUAAUGGUAAUCUUAACAGUGGCAAAGAUGAAUAAAAUAAGUGGGGUUUUUAUGCUUGAGCACUUCCAUUAUCCUUGUUGGAGUUUUUGAUAAGGAGCUUUGCGCAAUUUAAACAGGUGUCGAUGUUGGGAGAAAGUAUAUGGAAUUAGAACAGUGGAUGUGUGUUGUUUUUUGGUUUUGGUUUUUCUUUUUUGGAAAGGAGUCAACUUUUGUUGCAGGUGCAAGGUUUGGAAAAUAUAAACAAGAAGCAGAGUCCAUGCAACUGUACCAUCAAUUAAGUUGGUUUAAUAGAAUUUCAACUUGUUGUUAAUAAAGCAAACAUUUACUAAUCUUAUCUCUUGUAAGCAGGAAGGAAGUUAAAGUGCACAGUAAUGCACAUUGCUGUCAGGAAAAGUGGUUUAUAAUAUCAUAUUAUAUAAUUUGCAGUGAAGCAAAACCAGCAAAUGGCUACGUGGGAGCAGUCUUUAUCUUCUUGAUUUAACUUCUUCCCCUCCCCUUCCCCUUGCUAGCUUUGGUGUUGUUCAUUUCCCUAGUUUUGUGCAUCUUUAGCAUUUCCUGCUGUAAUCUGCUUGGAUGUCAACAGCCUGACUAUGGAAAGAUCUCACUACUGGAGCACAGAUGAGGUGAGGGAUGAGUGGCUGAAAAAAUGGUCUGAAAAAAUUACUUAUGUCAUUUUAAAAAAGGCCAAUAUUACCAACUGGUAAUGAAACAAGCAUGUAUUUUCCUGUCCUACGUGGCUGAUUUUUUUUUCCUCCUUUUACAUUUGCAUCUUUGUGUAACGUGCUUAUAGUGUCAGCAAUAUGAGCAAUGCUCUUUGCUUUUAAGUGUAGACUAAAUCUUGACUAGAUUUGGGUACUGAAGACCAUGUUAGGAUCCGUAAAUGAAUGAACUUCCUAGAGCUGUUUCAUGCCCAGCACUUUGCAAGUCAGCACACUAAUACUGAAAUACCUCACUUUGUGAUAGCCAAGAGUGUGAGGGAGGCGUUUGGAGCCACAAUUGCUGCAGCGUCCCACUGCUGUUGUGUUGAAGAGAAUGAAUUACUGAUUAAUUCUGUAGUUUUGCAUGCAAUACUGAUUUCUGAAAACACUCCCCACCUCCUUUGUCUGGAAACGAUCCCAUAGUCUGCUGACAUUUGAAAGAAUAUACAGCUUAUCUGUUGUGAAGUCCACUGAAAAAUAAUUUACUAUUCACGUGUUAAAUAUAGGGGCAGUUGGUCUUUUUAUAUUGCUGCAAUAAUUCUGUGAGGAAAAUUUCAAUGAUGAAAAUGAAAAAAAGUUAAAAUAGUCAUAAUUUACUGCUUUAGUCUGCAGGGCAGCUGUUUUCUGCCUCUAUCUGUAUUCUAAUAAGUCUUUUAAAUGAAGAGAUUUAUGAGAUUAUUUUAAUUUUGAUGUCUUUUUAAUGCUUCAUGCAUUUUAAAUACAACCUUUUAAUAGUUUUUGAGAUUGAGGAAUUUAAUUUUAUUUUAUACUGCAGAAAUAAAUGUAUUCUCAGGAGACUGCACCAUUAUUACAGCUUUUUUUUUUUUCUUUUAAUUCAACGUAUCUGGCAUAUACAAGUGUGGCACUAACUAGCAGUGCUACACUUAGCAUUGAAUGCAGAGCAUCGUUAGAGUCUGAGGGGCGAUCUGGCUGCUGAAGGUGCCAUUGCUGCAGCAGGUGUGGGGCUGGCCAUGUGGCAUGGGUGCUGUGUGCCAGGCCUGCCCUUGGGAAGUAUGUAAUGGUGUUGUGGCACGUGCCCUUCAGGCUGUUGGUUUUGUUCAUGCAGAGAAGGGAUGGGGGUCUGGCUUUGCUCCCUGCUCAUCCUGUGCCUAGCUAACCUCCUCCUGCUCUUUUCAGGUAACUGGGAAAUGUGAUUGCAGCUCUUAGAGCCGUUAUUGGUGUAUUGAUUUGCAUGAAUGCCCUUAAAUAAGCUCUAACUGCUGUUCUCUCAUCCUCCUAAAAUAUUCCUCUUGAGAUUUGGCAAGGUCUAAGCUGUUGGCAAGGUCCAAUCCGCACAUGAGGGAUCACAGAAGAACUCUCAGUACCUUAAGAGAACAGCCUCCAAAUCACACUUCCUACCUUGCCUUUAAGCAAAGCAUGAAACGGUCUUAAUUGAUUGGGAUACUCCCAAACUCUGAGAAUCUCAUCGGUUCUUAAAAUACGUUUUAUUGUUCAGACAUUGCGCAUGCAUUGCCUUCUGGGGAGUUUUUCAUAUAUUGAUAGGUGGGAAUUCAAACUGAGCCAAGAAAUGAAGACUUUGUGUCUCAAGGGAGCAGUUCAAAGGUUGGGCAUGAAUGUCUGCUGUGCCUUUAUUAAGAAAGAUACUGUAAUAUUGGUUCUAUCUAAUGCUAUAAGGUUUACCAACAAUUGUGCAUUGGUUCAUGUGGGAAUUCCUAACUAAUGUAGGCUUUUUUGUGGAUUUGAUAUUCACAUGGCUUUCAGUAGCCUCUCAGCUGGAUGAAAGAGUGCUUACUCUGUUAAGUGCUAUCUGCAAUAGAUGACUACAAUUAAAGCACCAUUAGGUAUCUAAACCAGGUAGAAAUCAUUUUAACAGAACUGGAAUUUUUACCUGUAUUUAUUUGUAGCUGCUCUUCUGCUUUCUUUAAUGGUAUAUCGUUCUCUCUGGUGUAAGAAACAACAAAUAACAGCAUAUUAACUUAAUGAAUGAUACAAAAUUGCUUUUUGCUGAUAACACAACAAUGAGAGACAUGGCGGCAAUGCCAGAGGGUUGUGCUGCCAUCCAGAGGGAUCUCCAUAGGAUCAUCUUAGUGGUGUGCAGUGCCAGGACAAGAGGCAUUGGGCAUAAAGUGGAACACGAGAGGGUUUGUCUCACCAUCAGGAAGCACUUUAUUACUCUGUGGGUGACUGAGCACUGACAUGGGUUGUGGAGUCUCCUGCUUGGAGAUCUUCAGUAGACACCUGGAUAUGGGCCUGGGCACCCUACCUGGGCAGGGGUGGGGCCAAAUGGUCCCAGAACUCCCUGCCAACCUCAGCCAUUCUGUGAAUAUUGACUGUGGCUGUAUAAGACAGACAUUUCAAAGAAAAUAUUAGUAGAAUGACUUACAUAGACUUAAAUGAAUGAGAAUAUUUUGAUGGGAAUCGUGAACGUGGGAACUGGAACGUAAAGCCAAGAAGAUAGAGUAAAGCAAAGAAGGUGUUCAAGGAGAGAAUUGUCUUUAGAACUUACAAGAUCCAUUGGGAUUUAAUAAAUAAAGCAACUCCACUGAGUUCAAAAAGUGCCCUGAACUAAAAUUGGUUGGAAGCUCUCAGAGGAAGGGAGGAAAGGUCAUAUAUGUAUUAUUCCUUUGGCCACUAUUGAAAAUUAAUAUUAGAUAGACAUUUGGCCUGAAGUAAUAGACAGGUCUUACUUGCCAUUCUUGUGAAUAGUUCAGGCAUUGUAAGGUGGCUAUUACGUUGUUAAGUCAAUACUGUGCAAGGUUAGAAGAGUAAAGAUCAGCAAUGGGAAUUCAUAUUUGGAUGAGUAAAACGUGUUCACUGUGUGGUCACGUUACAGGAACAGAAAUUCUGCGUGAUGAGGUGCUAGCACUGGGGUGACUGCUUUGCAUGUGUCUGCCCUGCAACAGCAGCUAUUUGGAUCAAUUAGUGAAAACAAAUGCGCAAAUAAUUUCCGCAUUGUUAUCAGGAGAUACAACUGCUAAGUCGCUCAGUGAACUGCAUGUCCGUGUUUUGGUGCUAAUUCCUCUCUUGUAGUAUUCCAGGCUUCUGAGAUUUCUAUAAUCUUAAAAUAUAAGGCGUAGAAAAAGUAAUCUGGUAAUUAUCAGAGAAGGAAAAAAUAGAAAGUGAGUGAAAGCAGGCGAGAGCCGGUAUCUAUCUAUCCAGCUGCUUCUGCUUAUUUUGAGCAUUUCUGCCUUCAUCUGCCUUGUGUUAUUUAGGCUAAAGCAAAAGUAUUUGCUGUGCAUGCAUGUGAGAUUUCAACUACCACACUUUGGGUUUGUAAUUAAGAAAUUAAUUAAAAUACUAUACAGUUUACUGCACAGUCUAUCAAAAGAAGGACAGUUUACAAGAUUUUCCACGUGUGUGCUAUAAAUUCAAUGCUACAGAUAUACAGAAUCAUAUUUACACUGACAUUAGAAGUUCUCCUCCUCUUGCAGAGGAGUAUCAUGAAAAAUUACUGCGAGAGGCUGGUUGUAAAGCAAUUGUCUCAGCAGAAAUCUAACUGGUAAGAAUGAAAAUUUCAGUACUGAAAGACCAACGUGGAACCUGCAGAGAGAGGAAGAAAGAGUAAAGAGAGAGAUGUGAAAACAAGAGAAAGAGAACGCUGCCUCCUUUUCCUCCCUGCCUCCCCCCUGAACUUCUGAGUUUGUCAGUUUUCUGAUGCUACUGAGGAACUUCUGUCAGCCUUCUCUUGGCGCCUGUUCCAUAGCAGUGUUUCAGAAUUCGGAUGUACAAGUCCAAAAAUUGUAUUAUUACCAGAAGCAGAGCGUAAAUUUCAGGCGAUCUGAUUUUGGGUUAUGUGAUGUAAGUCCUGCAAUUUCACUGUCUGCAGAAUUCAGAUUGACUUUUAACUGAAGCCGCUAAAAAGGAUGCACUCUUUUACAGGUUCUAAGCUGAAUCUCAAUUCAUUGUCAGCGAAACUGUGGUUUUCCUACUUUCAUGUGUUGCCAGACAAGUAAAGGAAAAACUCUUGAAGUAAUGCUGCUCAUUAAAAGUGCCUUAUAAUGCUUAAGAGGAAGUUUUGGAAGACGGUGUGCAUACAAAUACUGGCAUGAAACUUUACUUCCCAUCUUCCAAAUGAUAAAGAUAAUAAAAGGUAGGGGAAAGAUGAUACUGUUGCAACCUGUCUGACCUUUUUAAGAUAUUCUAUGCAACACUCCGAUGGCAGGUUGGCUGCCUGCUGUUUUACCUUACAAAGUGAUCUUUCUCUGUUGAAGUGACAGAGAUGUCUAACGUAUAAGAGGAGAAUCGUAAGAUUUCCCUGUGCUGGGACAUGCCAGCGGAUACAAGGACACAACUAGAUGCCACUGCUGAUUGUUUCAUUUGGUUGUUCUUUGUUUCUACCUGAACAUUGAACUUUUACUGUCCAGAGCCCAUACACUCACUCCUGCAGCUCCCAUCCAUGCACCAUCAUGAUUUCUACUAAAAUUAAGGGAUACAUUGAGAGGAAAGAAAUGAUUAAAGGUAAGAAAGGAUGCGUUAAAUUAGACGUCACAGAGAGUUAGGAGGAAGUGGGAACUGUGUUGCAUAAUGUAUUUUUGUGUCUGGAGCUAUUUCAUAGGAGCAGGCAUAGAAAGGGAGUUGGCUUGUGAAUGGGAUUUUGUUUCUUUUUAAAUGCUGGAAGAUGCUAACUGACUAUCUUCAUCGGUCCGUCAAACCUGAGGUAAGGAGGAGAGAGGUUAUUGUAGAAUCAUUACAGUUGGAAAAGACCACUAAGAUCAUUUAGUCCAACUAUCAACCCAUUACCACCAUGGCCCUGAUGGCUGUCACAGCUCACUGUGCUGUGGCACAGCUCACUGAACUGCUGCUGGUACAUGGGUCCUACUGGAACAGUGCCUUGAUUAGUGAAGGUUGACUUAUUUGAAACAAGACAGCAAAAAGUACCGUGCGUUGUCAUUACCUUGCAAAGCUCUAAAUGUUUUAGCACCUGCCUGCUUCAAGAAAUUGCCCUUCCUCCUGUAUCUAUCGUGUUGAUAGGUAGGAUCUUUUGGUCACUAUGAAGGGAGGAAAGGCCCAAAUGUGGUUUCUUUAUUGUGGAAUGUUUUUGCUAUCCAGCAAGGCUCGUUCUGUCUCAGUAGGUUAUUUAUUAAGUGUCAAAAAUGACAAAGUUUGGGGUUUCUUCACUUUGCAUCUCCUACCAUGAGUACAGUUCAGAGACUCCCCCUUGGGUUGCUGUGGAUUUUUUUUGGAUCUUCCAUAAGGCUGAACUCCUCCCAGGCCAAUUAAACUCCCUUCAAAAUGAUGAUGAAAUACAGAUGAACGUAUUGACUAGUGGAAGCUUGAUAGCUAUUUGUGAAACAGUUGAGGGGCCUUUGUUAAGUACAUUUUCUACUAUAUGAUGAGAGUUAUUUAUUUUACGUACAUUUAAUAAUGCAGUGAAGAUGAUGCUUGAAACACUGAAGUACAGUGAGGAAUUAUUAGUUUUCUGCAGCAAGGUAAAGGCACUAUGUGUUUGCCCCAGAGGAUAUGCGAGGUACAGAAAAUGAAGUGAAAUAAAUAAAAAAUGGCAGAUAACUGGUUUCUGGGUAUUACAGGGUGGAUUUAUUAAUUGCUAAUACAGCACCAAGUCAUGAAUUACUCCGUCAUCCCCAUUGUUUCAAUUUUAUGACUUUGCUCUUAAAUACAGAUUCGUUAGGAAGGAAUCAAAUGUCACUGGGCAGUGAAUUAUACAGAAACAAAUUUAUGCUUGUGAAUGCUGAUUUCCCAUAAUAAGUUAUGACUUUAAAAGGACACUGUCAAGGUAUUUGUCAUAGUUUCAUCGUGACUUUUAUCUUCGCUGUUGUGUACGAUAACCCCUUCUGCUCUGGAUAAGGAAGGUUGCGGUAUACCUUUCUUCUCUGUUUUAGUUCGACUGUGUGUGAAUGAAGUUUGCUUAUUGUAGUUUCUCAUAUCGUGUGUUUAAAUGUUCUAAUAUUUAAGUAAAAUAGCAUCAAAGUAUUUUGCUUUUAAUUGAGUUUUAGAUCCAACUACAAAUGUAACCAGAUAGAACUCCCUCUGGUCACCUUAAUGACGCACUGUCUUUGGAAAAGUCUUUACCUUGGAAAUUUUAGUGUAUCUGCUGGCUGCAAACAUCUUCUGCUGUAAUCCUGGAGCUGCCUGGGUCGUGUCGGGCCUGUCAGAAUGAGUUUCACGCUCCGGUGCGCUCUGCAAAGUGAGCCCUGUGCUGUGGGUUCUUACCUCACGUUCCAGGUUUGAUCGCUAACACAUCGUUUGUAAUGGUUUAAAACUUAAACUAAUGAAGAAAAACAAUGAAGAAACAGCUCGUAGCUCUGUGAACUGCUGUGUGUGAAAGUGCCUCCAGCCACUUUGGUUUCAUGUCACUGUUAUUUUGCUGUGGUGAUAGUAAAAUAGGAGUCCAAAAUAAAUUUUGUGAACUAACCUUGGCAGCUUGCUGGAACAGUGAAUGGGUAACUCCAUGGGGCAGAGCUCAGCAGAACUGGGAGCUGGAUGCACCUUCAAAAUUCUGUAUUAAUAUUUGUAGUGUGAAAAACAGUGCCCUGUGCCUUGGCCAAGUGCUGUGGUGUAAGGUUCUCAUCGUUUUUCUUCCACGUGCAAUGCCAUGUUGAUUCUUUAUUAUGCAGUGUCAUAAAAUGCAGGAUUUCCCUUUUGAUUUAGCUUUUGAUGCAUUGACCAGGUCCUUUGAUAGGUAGAAAUUUUUCUUUAAUUAAUUUCUUCUGCAUCUGUUUAAUUUCUGGGCAUACUCAAAUACCAUUAUUUAGACUUUUAAAAUGUUUGUAGAUGUUUUACUACCAUUCCUGCUGCGUACAUUAGUCCUUGCUUAGCUCCAUUUCAUUUUCCCUUGGUGUUUUUUAUCCUGCUGCCAAAACAAGAGUGCUGGCUGCUGUGCUGCCGCAGUCAGACCAGUAAGACCGCCUGCCAUGCUGGUGUCAUUUGUAUCUUCACUUCUUGCAGCGAGAUGUGUGCCAUAAAUCCCAGCUCCUUGGUGCUGAGCUGGACAUUGGAUGUCCACAAGGAGCCCUGGUGAAUUGAUGGGCUGCCAGUUGUUGUCAGGGAGCCCAGUGCAUCUCUGGAAACAGACAGAUAUUAAGGGCCAUGUUUGUAAAAGCAUCUAGGAAUGCUUCUGGGCACCUUGCAGGAGUUAAAAGCUAGGCCUUCUGUGUCUGACGGUACCUAAAUAGAUAGGGCCUGUCUGCAAGGUGCUAUCUGUGCAUUUUUCAUGGCCCCAGUCAUUCCAGGGACGUGACACAGGAGGGACCUGAGCUCUGUGGGGCUUGCUUCUUAGCAGAACUGGUUGGGCUGGAUAAGCUGGAGUACUGAAUUGAAGGAACAUAAGUGUCCUGGGUUGGUCCAGUUUUGUGGGGAACAUGAAUAGCUUGGCGAUUAAUAGGAAUGGAUGUGGGAAAAUACAUCCAGUAUGAAUGGAUAUUGGAAAAUACAAGCUGGGCCAAGAAUGGCCUGAGGGCAGCCCUGAGGAGAGGUAUUUGAAGGUGUGGGUUGAUGAAAGACUGACUCAACAUGAGCCAACAAAGUGCACUUGCAGUCCAGGAGGCCAACCAUAUCCUGGGUUGCAUCAAGGGAAGUGUGACCAGCAGGUCAAGGGAGAUGAUCCUGCCCCUCUACUCUGCUCCUGUGAGACCCUGCCUGGAGUACUCCAUCCAGUUCUGGCGCUCCCAACACAAGGACAUUGAGCUGUUGGAGUGGGUACACAGGAGGGGCACAAAGAUGAGCAGAGGGGGCUGGACAACCUCCACCAUGAGGAAAGGCUGAGAGAGCUCGUGCUCUUCAGCACGGAGGACAGAAGACUCCAUGGGGACCUUAUAGCAGCCUUCCAGUACCUGAAGGGGGCCUACAGGAAAGCUGGGGAGGGACUUCUCAUAAGGGCAUGUAAUGACAGGUUGAGGGAAAAUGGCUUUAAAUUGGAAGAGGGUAGAUUUAGAAUAGAUAUUAGGAAGAAGAAAUUCUUUAAUGUGAGAGUGGUGAGACACUGGAAUGGGUUGCCCAGCGAGGUUGCGGAUGCCCCCUCCCUGGAGGUGGUGUUGAAGGCUGGAUGAUGGGGCUUUGAGCAACCUGGGCUAGUGGGAGAUGUCCCUGCUUAUAGCAGCAGGUUGGAACUAGAUGAUCUUAAAAGGUCCCUUUUGACCCAAACCAUUCUGUGACCCUAUGACUUGUAAAUAAUUUUUUCUAUAUGUGUGAGAUGUAAAACACCAAGGAGGACCCAUAACAUAAGGAGUAUUGCAAAUGCAUGAUAAGGCUGUUCUACCUUGUCUCUCUCUUUCCUUUCCACGCAUCUUUCUCUGGAUAAGCUGAGUUAGUCUCACCUGGCUUGCCACUGUGCUUGAGCAAGGCGAGCUGUUUUUCUGCAGCUGUAUAAGGUAUUUCUCCAAGCUCAUUUUGGGAUGGGGAAAUUCCAUUUUCAUCUUGCAAUUCUUUCUCCAUGAUCAGCUGGAAAGUGAGUGAGAAAAGAGCCCAUGGAGAUUGACAGUAGCACUCCAUGCAGAAGUAAAGUGGUGCCCUCAGCAAAGGUGUGAAUAAAGGUUUACAGGAAUGAUGUUACAGAAACGUGUGCCUUCUCAAGCUUUGUUAAGUGCUUGUAAUGUUUGUAGUGCAGCACUUUGUACCUAAGAACAGAUUGCUUUCUGAAAUGCCACUCAAGCCAACCUUAGCAGUGCAGCGGCCGUCUGUGGCAAGGGGGAGAGUAACUGCUUACAGGAGGGCCUUCCCCAACCUUGUUGUCUUUGCUAGAAUAGUCUGCUGGUCUCUGCACUGUGCAAUACUGAAGUUUAUGAAGGACAGCUGAACUGUCCUGCCAACCUUAACCUUAUUAAAAAACAGAAAACAAAAAACAACCAGCCUAAAAAGCCCUUUUUAACCUGAAAUUUAAUCUUACUGAAAAAAAACAAACCAAACCCCAAACUUUAGCCAAGUCAAGUUUUUAGAAAUCAUUGUUAUUCCUCACAGCGAUUACAUGAGGAACGCUGCAGGAGCAUUUCAUAUCCCAUCAGCCCUCGGCACUGGAAUGACAGCGGGGGUGAAGUAUUAAAAACCAUGUACUUGUGAAGACAGACACAGCUAGAUUGUUACAUGGGAAACAUCAUCUCAGUAUUUGCCGUUGAAUUAUCUUUACAUUAGUUCAGCUCAUUUCUGAGACAACACACUGGAAGAAAACAUAAUGUGAAUUAAUUAUUUGCGCAUAUGGCAUACGCCUGAUGUCAGCUAAUGCUGUAUUAAGGAUAGACAUGCUGGGCACACAUUAAAUAAUAGAGUAAAUAUUUGUAUCGUUCAUGAUAAACUAGUUUCUGCUGCAGAUCUUCGUUCUUUGUGCCUCAGUAAACAUCCCCAUUGGGCUUAUUUACUGUGAUUCAUACAGUGCAAUAUGUUAAGUGUUCUAAAAAGUGUGUGCUUAAAUCUAAAUUCUACUGCAAGGCCUCACUCCAUUUUCAAAACAAUUGUCUGUUUGGCGGCGCUUUAGAAUAGUACUAAAAUCAUCAUGGUGCCUUAUUUUUCUAUGCAGUGUUUGAUUAGCAUUAAUCAUGGGGAUUCAUUUGUGUCAGAAAUGCUUCUAUUGAAGUUCCAUUAUAAUCUACGUGUAAUGAAACACACAUUAUCUCAACAUGGUUCAAAAUGUGUAUGUGAAGUGAUUAUUACAGGAAAGAGCGUUAGACGCAGAUGCCCUAAGUUGUGCAGUGGUAGAAGAGGGAGGGGCUGUCCUUCUAGGAACAAGUUAGGAUCAGGGGACCCUCCAUAAGAAAUGGCAGACAAAUCUUUACCGUAGUAAACAUAAAAAAGCCUAGGAACUGGUCCUCUGUUUUUAGGAGGUGGAAGAAAACGAGCGGUUGCUGUUUCUCAGCUGGUGCAGUUAGUCUGUGUGUACUCGUGACUCCUGGCUCAUGGCCAACCUGUUGUCUACCAGGACAUCCAGGUCCUUCUCUGCAGUGCUCCUUUUCAGCAGAACAACCUCUAGCCUGUACUGAUGCACGCAGUAAUAAUGAAUCCAUCUACGUCAUUGACGUACGAAGAGCUACAAGAAGGCUUUAAAGGAGGAAUAACACCAUAAUUCUGGCUGAAGACUUUGCAGUCCAGCCUUGUAAGCAGCGUAUCUCUUGAGAGAGCGCGUGACAGAGCUGACGCCCUUAGCAUCAUCACCAUCAUCAUACGGCCCUAAGAUCUCCCACGUCCUCAGAGUCACUAGAACCAAUAGAUUUUCAGUUAGUACAGCUAACAGAAGUUCCAUGAAAAGUAGUUAAGCUUUCACUUUGGAAGGAGGAUGAGGAGAGGUUAGGAAUAUUUACUGCAAAUUCAGUUUUGCUGCAGAAGGACCAAAUUCUGCAUUCAGGAGCCAGUUAGAGCAUAGUGGAAAAGAUGAAUGGUUACUUGUUCCACCUUCUCAAGAGGUUUUGAGUCUGUGUUCAAGGUCUGCAGCACACAUUUGGCAAGGCAGAGGUAAUUGUAAACCAGGUUUAUGCUCUCUGGGUUUGGAAAGGAGUGAUCUCUGCUGCAGUCUGUAGCUGAUGGCUCUGCUCAACCUGCUGAUUUCAGAGGUGGAAGAAAGGAGGAGGAAGCUCAUACCAAGUGGUGGGAGUAAGGAGGAAUGAUGAUCUGGGUGCUAGAGAAUGGCCCUAGUUUGGGAUAAGGAAAGAGCUAUGAGUGCUGGGCCAUGUAGGAGAAACUUGCUCUGUUUUUAUACAUGAUCUCCAAUGAGGUUGAAUAUUUUCCAAUUCUUUGAUACUUAGCCAUGGAUGGUAUAAGCUUGUCAAUUGUAUUAAUUUCCAUAAUUUAUCCUUUAUCUUGAAAAUAUUUUUUCCCCCACUGGUUUUGUUCAGAACCUUGCUAAAAAUCAUAAGGAAGUUCAGAAAUGUGCAUCAUUAAUUCAAGAAUGUAUUAAAAAUUAGAGUAGGGUCUCCAAGUUCUGAUAGGCAGUCUUGUACUUGGAGACAUUACAUGGAUCACAACGUGUUUUUCUGACCUGGCCCAGCAGUGGUGGGAGUAGCCCGUGGUUUCUCUUCUGUUUCGUGGCCAACUAAGCCCUACAGCCCUUCUUGCUUGUCAUGCUCACUCAUCACCUACAUCUCAUGGCCUAUAGAAUAGGCAUCUAAUGGGUGUGUAAAGGAAUCCGGAGUUUGUUAUUUAGGGGAAAACAGAGAUUAAAAUAAAAAGAUGUGUUUAUUUAUUUAUUUUUAAGUGUAGUUUGGGACUGGUUUGUAAUCAGAUCCUGCUGCAUUAAAUGGUCUUUGCUUCGAUUCUUGGCAGCGCUGGUUGGAUUAGGAGUGCCUCGCAUGCGACUGAAAUCCAGAGAUUGCGUGCCAGGUAUUAAAUAGAGGCAUAAACCUACUGGAAACUGGGGAGGCUCUUUCUAAUAAAUUGCUUGUUAUUUCCCUCAGAAUGCAGGGAUACAUUUUGAUGAUUGAGGACUGGACGUGUUUAUGCAUUCUCAGUUGAGAUGAAAUGAUUUUGUGAAAUAAUUCUCCUAACCCAUCAGAAAUAUAGGCAAUCAAUUUGUAUUAAAAUACCACAAGUUAAGGCUCUUCUUAAUGUUCUAAAUUACCUGCACUUGGCAUAUUUUCAACUAGUUCUUGAAUUGCAGAAGUCCUUCUGGGUUACUCUUGAUUGGUAUGUCCUGAUUGGUUAGUCCUGGUUGGUACACACAGCUCCCAAAGCACACAUUUCUAUCUACUGGGGGCUGUGAUACAGGAUGAGUUGUUACUCAUUUUCACCUGGAUUGUCAGGGAUUAAUAAGACCUGGUAAUUUUUCUCCCUGCUGCAAUGCCAGGUUCUCUUUAUGCGCACGGAUAAACUGUUACACAACAGUUCACGUCAUGGAUAGCCGCCAAGUGCAGUGGCAGAAGCAAGGGUGCAGAGCUGAGAUGUUGAGAUGGCAGUUUUGUGACCCUGCUGGUCACUCAUUUGGCCUCACGGAUGAAUUAGAAUGAUCGCAGGUCAUCUUCUACUGGUACUGACUGCUCUGAUGGGCUCAGAGGGGUGCUUUCUGCCAACCCAGGCUGACUGCAGAAUGCCAGGCGGUGGCUGUGGUGCUUUCCAUCUGAAAUGCAGCUGAGGGGUUAGGGGUACCUCAGGAGGUGCUCUAGGCACCGCACCAAGGCAGCGGGCCAGCAGACAGAAUAGCAGGCUGUGCUGGGCGUGCAGCUGCUUUUCAGACCAUCCGAAGUGUCUGCACCAGAGCAAGCUGUUACAAGAAAAGGAAGUGUUUGUAGUUGAUCCUGUGAUUGUCAUUGUAAGAACCGAGAGCAAGGUGGUUAAUGUAACACGUGGCGUAAAAAGGAAUAGAAAGAAGAGGUUGCAGACCUCUGCCUGCAGAACAAAUGCAUGUUUGGUAAUGGCAGAGCACCUUGCGUUUAGUAUUUUAGGUUGAAUUCUAAAUUUUGGGAGAAAAGGAGAAAUGUAAUCUAAGUUUAGCAAUUAUGUACCAUAGUUAAUUAAUCAUGUAAUUAAGUAAAAUGAGACCGUAUUUCUUGAAAUGUGUCAGAUAAUUAUGAUACAUUUUGGUAAUUAUGUGUAAUAAAAUUAAUUAAACAUAUAAUUCAAAGAAUCAGGAAAAUUAUUUCUUGGAAUGAUUUAUCCCAUCUGUAGGUCCGAAAGAUCUGUUUUAUUUUUCUUAGCUCAGCCAUAACCUUAUAAUCCAAUCUUUUCUGUUUGGGAAGACCUGGCAGAUUUCCAGUAUUAGCUCUUUGCAUUCAUAUUACUUCUUGGUUGGAAUUUUCCUUCGGAUUCUUUAAUCUUCAUAAUGCUAUUGGUCACCCAGUAUGAAAAUCCUCGGAUCUCUCGUUAGACCAUUGCUCAGAAAACAGAUGCUACUGUUACAUUGUGUGAUUCUUGGUUCAUUGCUGUGAAGUCCUGCAGAGUAUUUGUAAAAGAAGAUAAAGAAAAAGGAAACGAGGGAAGCAAAUAUUACCCAAGUGUGAGCCAGUGGGCUCAGAGCUCAGGGGUGUUUUAAUGUGUUUUAUUGGCAUUUGCCCGAAACAUCAAGCACACAAACGCUCUCCCUUGGUGUGGAGGGCUGAACUGACCUCCGUUCCAAAUAGCGGCGUCUUUAUAGUUACUUCUCAUUUUCAUUACUGCUGAGAGGAAAUUCUGCUGCCACUGCAGAUGAUAACUGUAAGUAGGGGAAGCAGUGUAAGGGAGCCCUAUAAAAUCAUGCUUGUGAUAUUAAUUUUCUCACCUCAGGCUUAAUAAUCAUUUUAUGGUCAUUUUUGAAAAGUUUUUUAGCCAUAAUGUUUAAUCUAUCUUUAUGGUCUCUUAUGUUGUAUUUAAUCAGUGUAAUUACAGAAGGAUAAUUAAAUAUAAUGCUACUCACUUCUUAGGAUUUUAACACUAUCACUAUUAAUGUAACUGAAACAACCUAGUAAAUCAUGGUGUCUACACAAAGCAAAACGUUGGUGCAGUAUAUUUGAUACACCAUUAAAAAGGAAACGGUGCCUUUUCGUCAGUACAGCAGCACACAUCCUAAUUCCUUAGUUCAGUGGUGUUCGAAGAGACUUCUUAACAGCAUCAAAUCAAAUCAAGUGAAAGGGGCUCAUUCUUCUACGAUGCCUCAGGUUUUUGAGGAACAAACGUUGGCCCCAGUUUAGAAAAUUAUGUAGGCAGAUGGUUAAAUCCACUUUUCUUAGGUGGUUUUCCCAAAGUAAGUGGGUAUUAAACUGGGGGGAAAUUGCACAGUCUUCCUGUCACCCGAGUGCUACCUCUGCCCUGCUUUGUGUGGCCAUGGUAAGAAAUACGUGUUUGACUUUUUGUUGAUGCCAGUACAAAGUAAAGUAUCUCGGUAGCACAAAGUAUCAGAGUAUUAUUACAUUGAUUUAAAACAUACUUUAAGGCAGUCAGUACUGUAAGGCAGGGUGGGCAGGAUGAGGGUUUUGUGCAACUUUGUUGCAUUAAAUGCCUUUUGUCCUGCUUUUCCUUGUCAGAAUGGAGGUGCAGCACAGUUUGGAAUGGCUCAGCCAUGUCCUAAAUGACUUUAAAGAAGGUCAGCCUCUGCUGUUCUACCUUCACAUCCAAGAAGGGUUCUUUCACCAUUACUGUGCCCCAUUGGAACUGCUGUGGCUUCCCUCUUGGUGCCGUUUCAGGGGUUAAGUUGGCCAUAGGAGCAUCAGUAAUCUUGGAAGAGGUGAACAGUCUGAAAGUACACAGUAAUAUUCAAGGGCAGAUUGUAGGAAGUAAAGCAGCUGCCAAGAGAGCAGAAGUCUCAACACAUAAUACUGGUACCCUUGUAUUACAGUGGUCAUUUACUAUUCAUAGCAUCCAGCUAUGGAGACUGGAGUGAGACGUAAAUGCUACAUCCACCUUGUAACAGUGCUCUGCACAAAAGUACAUUUCAUUUGGUAUCUCCAUUUUUGUGGGAUUAAGAUAGAGUUUAUGGAGUAUAUAUUCAGAAUGCCUUGCAUUUAGAUUCCGGGUUCCUUGGCUAGGAAACUGAACUGUUUUAUUAAGAAAAAUAAUCACAAAACUGUUGGUUUUCCAUAUGUAUGGCUGUGUCUGUGGUUGCUGCUGUGCUACGUAUGUAACUUAAGUAUUGCUGCUUCUCUUCACAUUUCAGUGAAGUGCGUGAUGGCAGCUUCUUAUGGAUUACUAUUCUUGAAAUAAAAUGUCAUGUCACUUAUGACUUAAUUUGAUGCUUAGGAAGGCACUGGCACUGCACGUUUUCUCAGAAGACUCAUGAAGAGAGCGCUGGAUUUCUCUGUGUGGUGUCAGAGCUUUAAUGAGUGGAAAGCCUGUCAGAAACUAUAUUUCACAUUUAUGAUAUAAAUUCUUGCAGUGUGCGUUUUUACGAGGGCUGCUCCAAAAGUUAUGCCUCCUGUUUUAUUAUGUUGGUCCACAGCAUCAGAGGUAUAUAUUGGUGGAAUGGCAGAAGAGGUUGAAUCUUUCCACCAAUAUCCAGUUAUGUUUUGUUGCAGCGUGACAGAUGGCAGCAGAGGGCAGUCUGACAAAAUGGUGUCUGACAUGGAAGUGUGGAUCAAGCAAAGGUGUGUCAUUGAAUUCCUCCAUGUAGAAAAAAUGGCACCCAUUGACAUUCACUGACACUUGCUGAAUGUUUAUGGAGACCAAGCAGUGGAUGUGAGCAAAAAGGUGCUAGCUAAUCAAAGAAGUGCUUUUUAAAAUACCAGAUAAAUCUUGGAUAGUUGAAUUAUUACACCUUUGCUAAGCAUUGUAAUAAGGAAACUGCUUUAAUUAUAAAUAAAAGAAUAGAUAAGUAAGAUGAAUUUCUCCAGGCAGGUAGGGUGGUCCAGCCUUGAUUUUCAGCAGAACCCUGUAGCAGUUUCUCAUUUCCACCAGUGUGGCUCGUGUUAGCAGUGUGCUUUGUUUUUCAGUGAGCGGAUGACAGGAACAUUGGAAAACUACAGCAAUUCAUUACUAUGGGUCUGAGUUUUGGAAGCUAUUGGGUGGUGAAGUCCAUUAAAAAACAAUUAAGAUUCAGUGCAAUGCAGUAAUUUCAUUCUCCUGAGCUUUCAUGAGAACAGGACUACCAUUAUGAGUGACUGGUGGUGUUCCUAUAUUGGCAUCUGAACUCUCGCAGCUACAGCGAAGGUUUUUUUUUUUCUCUUUCCUUGUCUGUCUGGCUCUAAUUGUGGUAGCUUCUCAUCUGAGCAGAGUGGUUAAAUACAUCUCAGAAUACAAAGCCUUUUGUUGUGUCUCUUUUCUAAAAAAUCUCUUAAUGGGAGAGCAAAGAAUAGUAACUCAGUACUUGGUUCAGGAAAGGAAAGUAACUGUCCUUGUAAGCCGUGGAGUCUUCUCUGGAUAGCACUGUACUCUGUGUCAGUGUCAAUGAACUUGUAUCUGGCAUGGUCCCUCCCCAUACUGUGCUUUCCAGUUCUUAAGGCAAAUCUGUUUUCUACAUGUUCUCAGCAGCUUUAGGCUUGGGAUUUUAUUUUUUCUGCUCAUAAUGAGCACUGGAGAAGACAAAGUGGAUAUUCCUAUGGGUGUCUUCCCACCAGCUUGCCCUCUUAGCCCUUUUAAAUCAGCUGUAUUUGUCUUCAUCAGUCUUGCAGGCAAAAAGUUAGCUCCCCACCUUUUUUCCUAAAAUGUCACCUUUUUUCUUUCCCAGUCAUUUUUCUUUCUGCUUUUCAUAAGGAGCUCACCUGCCUUUCUAGUAGGACCUGAUCACUGCUCAGAACAUGUUUGUAUGGUGAUCCAGAUAUCAUAGAGUUGAAAGGGACCUUAAAGACCAUCUAGUUCUAAUCCCUUGCCAUGAACAAGGACACUUUCCUAUAGAUCAGAUUGCCCAAAACCCCAUCCAGACUGCCUUUGAAAAUCUCUGAGGAUGGGGCAUCCGCAGCUUCCCUUGGCACCUUGUGCCAGUGCCUCACCAUCCUCUGAGUAAAAAAAUUCUUCCAAACAUCUGACCUAUAUCUCCUGUCUUUAGUUUAACAUUACUCUUCCUUGUCUUGUUGCUAUCAGAGUAAAAUGUUGGUCUCCAUCUUUGCAGAUGUGCUUUAAAUGCUGAAAGCCUGCAAUCAGGUCUCUCUAGAGCCUUCUUUUAUUCAGGUUGAACAAGCCCACCUCCUUCAUCAUGUCUCCAAAGAAGAACUACUCCAGCCCUCUGGUCAUUUCCUGGCCCUCAUCUGGACCUAUUCCAACAGUUCCAUGUCUGUCUUGUGUUUGGGGCCUCAGCCCUGAACAUGGUACUCCCAAUGGGGCCUCACAAGGGCAGAGCAAAGGGAGACAGUUCCCUCCCUCUCGCCACCCUUCUGUUGAUGCAGUUGACCCUCCGGGCUGCAAGCACACACUGCUGACUCAUGUUCAGCUUUUUGUCCAUCAGAACCCCCAAGUCCUUCUCUGUAGGGCUGCUCUUGAUGAGUUUUUCUCCCAGUUCGUACACAGAUCUGGGUUUGUUUGACCCAAGCACAGCACCUUGCACUUGGCCUUAUUGAACCUCAUCAGGUCCACAUGGGCCCACUUCUCAGGUCCUUUUGGAUGUCACCCCUUCCUUCUGUUGUACCAGCUGCACUGCUUUCCUUGGUGUUGUCGGCAAAUGUGCUGAGGGUGCACUCAAUCCCACUGUCUGUGCCAUUGACAAAGGUGUUGAAGAGCACUGGUUCCAAGGUGGACACCUGGGGGACCCACUUGUCAGUAGUUCCACCUGGAUAUAGAGCACUGACUACACAACCCUAUGGCUUUUACCACCCAACUAAUUCCUUAUCCACUGAAUAGUCCACCCUUCAAAUCCACACCUCUUCUAUUUAUUGAUUUAUCAACAUAGUAAAACGGAUUUUUUUUUUUUCCAGAAAGUGGGAGCAUGUUUUUACUGUGCUGUCAUUACUAGUCCAUUUACCACUGGAAGAAAAAAGAAAUGGAGAUUAGAAGCUGUUCUGGUAGAUUGACCCUAGUUGGUUUCAUGUGAUCAGUCACUAAGACACUUUUGCAUGAGCACCUUGGGCUGACAAAUUCUGACCAGGUGGCGAAGAGCUCUCCUACAGAAAUAUGUGAGCAUCAUGUAAAAUCUACUGGUGAAUUCUUUUUUUAGUUAAUGGGAUCUGACGUAUUCUGCCAUCAGCUGUAAUUCAGGUGAAUGAUACUCUUUGUGACAGGAGAAAUUAAGGUAUAUUGUAUGGCACAUGGCCUCAACACAAAUCCGUGUUUUUCAACACCCUAAAUUAUGCAAGCAUUAUAUUUACAGUCAGUUGUUUGUUUUUUUUAAAGACAGAUUAAUCAUGUCAAUAUAUAUUUUUUUGAGAUCUUUAUGCUUUCAUUAUCCAAUUUUUCAUACCUCACCAGCAUUACAUAGGGCCUCUUUUCACAGAGACAGUUGGGGAGAAGUACCAGGUUUCUCAUUUGGUGUCUGACAUGGGAAACUCCUGCAUACGCAGCAGUUUUGAACAUCAGGCAUCUCAGUAAGGCAUUGGAAGUCUGUUUUUUAGACAACCACGUUUGGGAAAUCUUGCUUGUAAUUUUCUUCCAUAUUAAAAUGUGGUCAGUUUAAUCUGCUCUGCAUAAUUUCCUGUGAUGAUACCACCACUUGUGCAUAAAUAAUUAACUAAAAUGUCUGAGGUAAUUUAUAUUUUCCGCAGCCCAGAACAAAUGUCAUAAUGACCACUGCUGCUGAUUAGGGACACAAGUCUGCAGAAGUUUUACAAGCUAUGUGUGCUGUUAGGGGUCCUAAACCAAGGUGCCAAAAAUAGUUUGCUCAUCUGCAGAGACAGCCUCAGGUGUAGAAGGCGGUGUCAGCAGGAACUGUGCAGCUGUCCAGAGCCUGUGCCCAGGAGGUGCCAUGAGAGCGGGUUGCUGGAGUAGCCUGCUUAAUGAAACCCUUUGGCAGUUCAGGCCCUGGUUUCUUUUGUUACUCCUCUUCUGCCUGCAGACUGGGACAACCAGGAUUUAUCUGCUUGACAGGGGUGCUGGGGAGAGGAAGGAGUGUACGUGAAGUGUUUUGAAGCUAUGAUGCACAGUGGAGUAACGCUUCUAUGAAUAAUAUUUUCUGCUCCAUUUUUCAUGAUAGCCAAUUAAUGUAGCAAAAGAAUAUAACUUUCAGAAUCGUGUUGGUUGAUAGAAAUGCACAGAAUGUUUAUCUAAGAUGUAAUGAAGAAAAGUAACUGAUGAAUGUGGCAAAAAUCAUUUGGAAGAGUGUGAGUGAGUGUUCGUCUUCCAAAAUUAAUCAACGGCUUCCUAAAGAUGGAAGAUUUGACUACUUCAGGUUCACUUGCCAUAACUAAGUUAUCAGCCAAGCUUCAAUAUCUAGAAGUGUUUUUAAAUUUAUUUUCUCCCAUGCUAAACUGGAGGAAAAUGUAUUAAUUUGUGGCAUUAGCAGUAUGUGAAACCACCCUUUGUAGCUGUGCAAGACGUCACCAAGUGCAGCAGGCAUACUUUCAGAUGCACCAUAUAUUCCUUCUUCUACUCUUUCUUCUUGAGUAGGUAGACCUGAAGUAGUUCCAGGUCUGCAGAAAACAGAAUCUUCGAACUCUGAACAAGCCUUUACAACUCAUUAGUAUAAAGCAUUGUUAAUGCUAUUGUCAGCUCCACAUCUUCUAAUGCCAGUUUUAGAAAGGCGGCAUGGAAAUAAAUAAUCUCAGUUGAGCCCCUUGGCAGGGGUAAUUGUGAUUUAAAUUCAUUUUUCUGACAUGUAACUGACAGAACUCUGGUUUAUUUUUAUAGGAGUACUACUUAGGAAAACCCACUAGAUUGUUGAUUAACCCCAUAUGAUGUUUUUUUGGUGGAUUUUUUUUUUCCUGGUACGGAUACUGCCUAGAUGACACAGAAAAGCGUAGCCACACAUUGGAAUUUUAUUACCCACCUACUUAACCAUUAAAAAUGCUACAGGAGUUCAGGAAGUGCUUAGUUUACAAGUUUUCAAAAUAAGGCAUUUCUAUUUUUCAACUCUAAGGUGAUUUUUAGGUUUUGGUGUAGUUUUUUGGUAAUUGGUUAGAACUGAAGUGCAGUACUUAAGACUGAGCACACUGUUUAAUUCUCAACCUAAAGAUUAUGUUCUUUUCAUUCAUUUUAUAUGACCUUUUCAUUCUCAAAAUUGUUUGAAUAACAUUUCUGGUUUAACUUGAAAAAAGUCUGGUUUCUGAUGAUGUGUUUUUGUUACUGUUAUUUUCUGCUAACAGGCUGAAAAGCCUGUUGUCUAUCUCAGUUGUUUAAAUCUAUGGAGAGAUUUUGUGGUACCUUUCUAUUCUUUAAUAAGGAAAUAAAUAUAUCUAAAUUUUUUCUUCCAUGAACUGUAGAAUCCUUUCAGACCAAUUUAGCUGUUGAGUAAGGUGAUGGGCGCGUAGCAGGUACAAGAUUUUCUAAGUGGUGUUCUCACGAUCAGUAUGCAGAAAUGUAUCAAUGCAUAUGUGCAUCUAUUGUCUGUGUGCUUGUGCGUAUAAUUUAUUUAUUCUUAAGUUGUUCAAUUUGUAUUGGGUUUUUUAAGAACUUAAAACUUGAGUUGUUCUGGGUUCAGUAAUUUUAACAUAAAUUAUUUCUAGUGUGAAAUUAGCUCUAGAUUUCCAUUGGGAGAGGAAUAGUAUCACCCAUUAAGAAAUUUUUGCCUGGGGUUAUACAUACCAGAGGAGUCCAACAUUUGAGGAAUCACCAUGUUCAUUUUUGUAGAGUGAUGCUUUAUACUCGGGGACAGACACAAAAAGAACGGGAGGCUUACAAGUCAAUUUCAGACCACUUUUUCAGUCCUGUCAGUUUCAAGUCUCUGUCCUUAAAACCUAUGAUGAUAUCAGUUUGAUUAUGUUGGUUUCCAAUUUUGUCUUGUUCUUUGGUCUGUCUUGCUCUCACAUUGUCAUUGGUGUUGCCAUUCUGAUUGUCAGUUGAGAAUGCCCUUCUCCCUUGUAGGUACAUGUACUUAGAAAUUUUACAUAAUUGAUGUCAAAUCUUGAAUCCCAACCUAAAUUCAUUUACAGAGUAAACUCUGUGGCCCUCGUGAUUUUUUUCAAUGUUUAGCUUCAUUGAAAAGCAACAACACAUUAAGAACAAAUGUUUUUCAUCUCACCUUGGUUGAGAAAACAUGCAGUGAAUGAACGGGAGUGUAGUAGAAUUUUACCUGCUAAGGUACCUGGGAUGUUAAUUCCAGAAAUGAGAAAUAUCACCCAUUGAAGAAAAGUGUUCCAGGAGAGUUUCAUGGUUUUCUUAGAGACAAAAUUCGGCUGACAGGCUUGUAUUCCCUGGGUUCUUUUGGCCUAUCCUUUAGAAAGGUGUAAGAUUUGCCUUUCUGUAGUUCACUUGGCCUGAACUCCAACACCUUUCAAAGGUGACAGAGUGCCCUUACAAGGGCAGCAGCCAGCACUGUGAGCCCCCUGCAGCACAUCUGGUUGCAUGGACAUCUGUGAGCGUGAUCGUCAUCUACUGUCGGUCAUCUGCUCCCUCUCAACACUGAGACCUUUGGGACAUGGUUGGUGAAGACAGGGACAAAGAAGGCAUGGAAUACCUCAGCCUUACCUCUGUUCAGCAUCACUAAAUCAGCUGUCCAGGUUGUGGACUUACUAUACUAGAACAGACAAGUCUUUCAUCAAGUCUUACUUUGGACUUGUGUAUCUCUGCUACUGUGUUCCCUGAAAUCUAGAUAAUUCAUUUUAAAGGUUCUAAUUAAAGGAACAGGCACUGUCAUGCAAACAAAGGCCUGGCCUUGCAUCUUGCUUCUGUUGGGUAUUUUGUGCUACUUCAGAGGAAGGAGGCUGACACAAACAGCUGUGGAAUAAUCUGUCUGCAAUGAAACGUUCUAUUUCAACUGCUUUCAUUAGGGACUGUCUUCUCCUGUAAGGCGGGAGGAUUUUUAUCCUUGAUGUCCUUUAGACUAUUUUUUGAUGUCCUACUUGACAGAGGUAAUGUAUUCAAGGGGAGUAUAUGCCAUUAAUUUACAGAGAUGGCAAUAUAAAUGGCAGUAUAUUAAUAUUUUUCAUAUUCUGUAUUCCCUUCUCAAUACAUCGUAACAUCCUGUUCACUUUUUUGACCCCUCAUGUGUAUUGAGUGAACAUCUUCAUUGAAGUGCCCAUGAUGAAUCUUGCAUCUUUUUUUCCUGAGAGGUUAUAACUAAUUCAGAAUCCAUCAGUAUGUACAAGUGGCUUUAAAUUUGUUCCUUCUAGUGUACCCUACUCUGCACUUUUUUCACAGUGAAUUUCAUCUGCUGUCAGGUUGUCCAAUUACCUAGUUUUUUAAAGGUCCUUCUGGAGUUCCUCACAAUCCUUUGUAGUCUUGUCUACCCUAAAUAGUCCUCUGUAGUCAGCAAAUUUCACGUUCUUAUUACUUAUAGCAUGUCAGCUUUCAGUUAUUAGUAAAUAUGAAUAACUGUGCCACUCAGAGUAUUGAUCCUCUGGUCGUGCUUUCUUUCUACGCUAGUUAUUUUGUGCUCCUUGUUCCUAAUUCCAAUCCUUUAGUUAGUUUUUUAGUUCAUAGCAAGAAUGUACCUAUAAAAUGUAUGUGCCACACUGAAUAUUCACAAGGGGCUGUAGGGGGCUGGCCUACAAGUUGUCCUCUAUAGACAGGGAAGUGAGAUAGCCUUGAAACAGGAAUGUAGUGUUAGGUUUUCUGAGCUCCCAAGGAAGCCUUUGGUACCUAUUCCCUGCCCCAGAAUAUGUGGCCUCUGUGACUGUAUUUCCAAGUUUUCUAAGUAAAUUCAUACCAAGAAGCUUCUGGAAAUUCUGUAUAAUGUUCUCAUUCAAUUUUUUUUCACUCAGAUUGUUAUGGACAGGUUCUUAGAGUAUUCCAAAUGGGACAGAACAGCAAUUUUCCUGAGGAAUUCAUGAGGAAUUUUGUUACGCUACAGUAUGUGUUUUGUGUAAGUAGUAAUGAACACACCCUCUGUUUGAAGAGUAAAAAUGGUGUGCCCCUAGCAACAUGGAUUCUGCACAACUUCUCACCUUCAUCCUUGAGUUUGGAAACACAAUCAUAUGUUUGUAUUAGUAGUGCAGUUCUCUUGAUCCUUGCUUCUUUCAGUCCUUGGAUCAGUGUUUUACAGCCCACCUUUGGGGUUGGAAACCGCUAAGUGUAAGAUGCUACUUAGGAAAUGUUUAUCAUGAAGGCUUGACAAGAAAAGGUUCUGUAUGCAAAAGGUUUAUGUUGGUUCAAGGUUGUACUGAAAAAAGUAAUUGAAAGAGAGGUCUGUUGAGAGAAAUUGCAUCAAGAAAAGGAAAUGCCAUCAGCUGGAAGAGUGGAAGUAGGGGCGGGGAUUUUUGAGGAGAGAGACAUUGUGUGUACUUGUUCUUUUCUGGCUUCUCUGGAGUUUGAGUGAAGACCACCUCGUUGAGGACAGGUAACCAUGGGCCUGAUCCAAUACAGGCAGUGUGAACCCUGAUUCUGAACCGAUACAGCCAUGCCUACAUUCUCAGAAAUGAUACAGCAUAAGGUUUGUUUUUAUAGUUGUAUACAGAACAUACAAUAUUAGAACAUUCAAAAUAGGAUGUUUUUCUUAUUGACUGUCAAAUACUAUCUCUUUGCCCUAAGAAAGUCGUAUAAAUGGGGUCAGAUUCACAAAAGUAUUUGAAACUGAGGAAGAUUGGUUGUUCUGAAAGGAGUAGAGUUGAAUUUAUCAGUUUUCACUAUUUUUAACCAUUCUGUCUAUGGCAGCACCAGGCAGUUGUAAAGUUGCCUAUUCCGAGUAUUAUGAAUCGUGUUGGACAGCGAUUCUAAGAAAGGUUUUAGAUUGCAGACGUUGUGCUUUGCUUAACUCAACUACUAAAACUCAGGUGGCGUAUUAGGCCACCUCAGCUCCUACUGCAGGCUGUGCUUUCGGAAUCUCUUACUUGUACGGUGUUUUGACUGUUCUGGGGACUUUCUUUGACCUCAUAAUUCCUUUUUAAUACUUUAGAUGAUGAAAUUUUUGUCUACUUGCUUUUCAUGCUGUGUCUUUCUUUUGUUCUGCAUCAGUGUAGGCAUCACUCAAGCCAAGACUCUCAUGCAGGUGAAACAGGAUUGUUAUUUCCAAAAGCUGAUACAAAGAUUUAUAAAAGAAUCUCAGAAAUAGAUCUCAACUUCAGAUUUCUUCAUUUUCUGUCACUACUCUGGUGGCCCCCUGAAUGAGAAGAUACUUUGGGAUCCACCCAACAAUAUCCUGUAUUUCUGAAGUGUCUCACACAGCCUACAUGUAUUUUUGUUCACAUCUGAGGUGAGAGUGGAGCCCCUUCCUUCUGAAAAUAUGCCUUACUGCUCACCUUAAGCUCUUAAAAUAUAAUCACCCUAAUAAAAUGCGUGGCUUUUAAUGUGGCUGUUACAUUCUGAUGAACUCCAGUUGCUGAUGUUUCUGUGCAUUUCUGAUCUUCUGGUACAAUCAAGCAGGGAAGCUGAUGUUCCAUAGUUCAAAAAACAGAAGUGUAUCAGCAGAACAAUUUCAUAAUUCACCUCCUUUCUCUGCCCCUUUUUCUUAACUGUCGGUGCUCUACAAUGGUAUUUAUUAGGUCAGAUGAUGUACUUUGCUCCAAAACAUUCAUAUGGCGAAAAAUGAACAAUUGUGAUUAAAAUUGAUUUUUUCCCUUUGGGAAGUUAGAAUCAAAAAUGGUUACCUGCUCAUUUAUGAAACAGAUUUAUUCUGUUGACAUGGAGGCUUGUUUGAAAUGUAAUUGAAUUUCUGUUACCUAAUGGAAAGUGACAGUUAACAGUAUUUAUUUUCCAUUUGUGUCUCAGUAGAUAACAUAACACAAUUUUGAUUUGUAGUUAGCUUUGGAAUCUGAGAUUGUUCUAUCUCUGUAAUUGAAAAGAUGGGAGCGUGAUGGCCUAAUACAAUCCCUUUUUUUUUUUCUUUUUUUUUUUCUGUUUUUAUUUUGUCUUUUUUCUUACACCAGUAAAGGCAACAUUAGUAAAGUAAAUAGCAUCUAUUCUGGCUAAAUGCUUGCACUGAGAUGUUAUUUUUGCAUCCUGCCUUUCUCGUUAGAAGCUGACACAUCAUGAUCUGGAUUGAUAAUUCUUCCAUUUAGACACUCUGUGCCAACUAAUUUGUAUGAGCAAUGCCUCCCUUUCAUUGCCCACCUCAAAAUAACUUUUUUUCUGUUUAACCUUGCAGAUGGAACAGCUUUCCGAGUCACGGAAAUACAAUUACAUUUCUCUCGCAGUCUUUUUUUUCACCCUGUAUUUACACAACGUACAUUAUUCUUUUAAGGAAAACGGUCACUUCAUCAUUGUUAAUAUUAAAAACAAAAGAUAACAGCUCUCUUCCUACAGUUGUGUGCCUUAUGCUCCAAUUCCCCUGUCGCUUUUUAGAAUUCUGCCUUAAGUCCCAUGCUAAAGAAGAAAUAACCUUUUUUGGAGAUGCAGUUGUCUUUUCUUCCAUUUGUCACAAGGAAACCUUAGCUGUCCUGUAUAAAAUCUGUUCUCCAUAUAUAUUUACAUGGCAACUAAUUGCAUAUAUGGGAAAUAGUUUAGUGCUUGUUUUAACACACCGAGCUGACUGGUAAUAUAGGAGCAAGCAAAUGCUAUGGAGUAGAUUCUUUUCUCUCUUCAUUGCUUAAGAAGGACGAUUAACCAAAACAAAGAGUUGUGCCUUAGAAAGUAUAAAUAUAUUCCAGAACCGGAUCGUUUUUCAUCACAGUACUGCUUCCAUUCACCAGAUGUGCUUUCUGAAUGUCCCAGGGACAAGACACUAACUACCAAUUGGGUUACUAGCUUCUGCUGACGCUUUUGCCAUCACUCAUUUAAACAAAUACUCUUUAAACCAGUAGUUGUGCACCGCCCCCAUUUGGGAGAGAGCUUAUUCAGAACAUAUUUUUGAUGUACUGAACUGUUCAUGAAGUCAAGCUUUUUGUAGUGUAUCAGGUAUCACAAUUAUUAAUUAUUCAAUCACUAUUUUUUUUCUUUGUGCUGAUGAAUGAAUUAAAAAGUCAUAUCUUACGAGCUACCUUGAUUCUUAAGCUGAUUUGGAAAUAGAAAAUAGGAAUGCGGUGCUGUAGUUUCUAAAAUGGGGGAUGAAAGGCCUUUUUAUACAUUAAUGGCACGCUGGCAUGAAGAAGGAUUGUUGAGAUUGUUUUAACACGUUGUGUGUGCAUGUAAAACACAGAAAAUUGAUACAGAU